ACAGCAGCCGCCGCGGUAAGACAGAGGAUGCAAGCGUUAUCCGGAAUGAUUGGGCGUAAAGCCAGCGCAGGCGGUUUGAUAAGUCUGAAGUUAAAGGCUGUGGCUCAACCAUAGUUCGCUUUGGAAACUGUCAAACUUGAGUGCAGAAGGGGAGAGUGGAAUUCCAUGUGUAGCGGUGAAAUGCGUAGAUAUAUGGAGGAACACCGGUGGCGAAAGCGGCUCUCUGGUCUGUAACUGACGCUGAGGCUCGAAAGCGUGGGGAGCGAACAGGAUUAGAUACCCCCGUAGUCCCUGUCUCUUAUACC
rnacentral:rRNA from 1 species